CAACCUCAACUCAUAUGGGACUACCCCCUGAAUUUAAGCAUAUUAAUUAGGGGAGGAAAAGAAACUAACAAGGAUUUUCUUAGUAGCGGCGAGCGAAAAGAAAUCAGUUCAGCACUAAGUCACUUUGUCUAUAUGGCAAAUGUGAGAUGCAGUGUAUGGAGCGUCAAUAUUCUAGUAUGAGAAAUUAACGAUUUAAGUCCUUCUUAAAUGAGGCCAUUUACCCAUAGAGGGUGCCAGGCCCGUAUAACGUUAAUGAUUACUAGAUGAUGUUUCCAAAGAGUCGUGUUGCUUGAUAGUGCAGCACUAAGUGGGUGGUAAACUCCAUCUAAAACUAAAUAUAACCAUGAGACCGAUAGUAAACAAGUACCGUGAGGGAAAGUUGAAAAGAACUCUGAAUAGAGAGUUAAAUAGUACGUGAAACUGCUUAGAGGUUAAGCCCGAUGAACCUGAAUAUCCGUUAUGGAAAAUUCAUCAUUAAAGUUAUAAUAUUUAAACAAUAUUAUACAAAUAAUGUGCAUUUUUUCCAUAUAAGGACAUUGUAAUCUAUUAACAUAUUAAAUUUAUCAUAAAAUAUGGCUUAUAGUUUAUUCAAAUUAUUAUGCUUGCAUUGAAUC
rnacentral:ncRNA from 1 species